rnacentral:tRNA from 2 species
AAGAAGGUGGCAGAGUGGUUAUGUGAUUGGCUUGAAACCGAAAUAUGGAGGUUCAAUUCCUCCCCUUCUCG